UUUCAUUUUGUUAAAAAAAAUUUGUGUUAUCUAAAAAUGAUGACAAUCCAACUAUGAAAAAUUAUGAUUAUUGUCAAUUAAUUACAUCAUGAAUUAAUUGUUUCAAGAUUGUUUGUUUGCCAACAUUGCGCCAUUUCAUUUGUUGUUUGUAUGUCGAGCGAGAAAGAAAACCACAAAAAGAAGCAAUUAAAUCAACAGGAAAAAAAACAAUCUGGCAUUUAAUCCAACCAAUCAUUCACUAACCAAACAUCCAUUUCAUCCAUCCGUCAAUCAA